rnacentral:rRNA from 1 species
UUUGAGGAUCAAAGCUUUAAUCCCUAAAAGCACCCCAUCCCAUCCAAUCUUGGAAGCUAAAGAGGGUGAGUCCUGGUUAGGACUUGGAUGGGAGGCCACCAACAAAUAUCGUGAGUGGUCAGCC